CCCUUAGAUGUUCUGGGCCGCACGCGCGCUACACUGACCAGUGCAACAAGCAUCCGUCCUUGGCCGACAGGCUCGGGCAAUCUUUGAACGCUGGUCGUGAUGGGGAUAGACUUUUGCAAUUUUUGGUCUUCAACGAGGAAUUCCUAGUAAACGCAAGUCAUCAACUUGCAUUGAUUACGUCCCUGCCCUUUGUACACACCGCCCGUCGCACCUACCGAUUGAAUGGUCCGGUGAAGCCUCCGGAUUGGCGCGCACCUCGGUGCCGCCGAGAAGUUGGCUAAACCUUACCAUUUAGAGGAAGGAGAAGUCGUAACA
rnacentral:rRNA from 1 species